UUUAGAAGCACUUGAAGUACUUACACUGUUUGUCCCUAAGGUGGUGACGGCGUGUGUAAUUUUGCACAACAUUUGUGUUGGUGUCGGGGAUGUGCUGGAAGAGGUUGUUGAGGAGGAGGACAACCAGCCACCUGGGGAGCUUGAUGGUGGAGAAACCCGGAGUGGAGCUGUUUGGCGGGCUGCGCUGACCAAUGAGGUGUCUGCACUCCACGAGGCACCUCUUGACCAUGACUAUUUUUGCCAGCCUUGAAGCAACAACAGCAGCACUGGCAGUGCUGUAGACAGUGUGGCUGAUGGCCACUUGUGUUCUUCUCGUCUUGUUGUAUAUAGCUGUAAAUGUUUAAGUUGUUGUAUAUAGUUGUAGAUAUGAGAAUGUUGUGUAAAUGAAUUUCCUGCUUCAUGUAUUUAGUUGUCAAUAUAGAAAUGUUUAAAUAUUUUUUUUUAUGUAACAAAGAUGAAAUUAAUGCUUUUUUGUAGAGCUUGGAAUACCGAAUCACAAAACGUUGUAAAAAAGGGUGAAGAUAUUGUUCAAUACAUUGUUUUGUUU
ensembl:lncRNA